UAUUACGAAACAACAAUGGAUAUUAAGUGUUCAAUAUUUGAGGAAGAGAAAGAAGAAUUUCCAUGGGAUGAAAAUGUCUUAAAGGAAUUUAAAACAUCUAUCAAGGACCAAGAGAUUCAUUGUCUUAUGGACGACGUUUUCCUUCAUGGAUUUCUACGUGUAGAAAGUUUGAUAUAGAAAGUUCCCUUUAGUUACUUAAGAAUAAUUAUGACUUUAGAGUCAGCAAUCUUCAAUUCUUUAAGAAUUUUCUACCUUCCAAAUUGGAGCAUGUUCUGAACAUGAAUACAUUGCAAUUUUUGCCAAAGCUUGAUCAAGACGGAAGCUAUAUUUACGUAUCUAGAUUAUGUAAUUGGGACACAUCUGUUGCAAGUGCAACUGAUUUAUUGCGGUGUAUGAUGCUUUGUAUGGACCUUCAGUUAACUUUACAUAGAACUCAAGAAAAGAAAAUUGUUUGUAUUAUAGACGCCGGGGGGGUUAUCUCUGUCGCAUUUUUAUUAUUUCUCACCAAAAGUCAUCUGUUGGUUAGUGAUGCUGAUUGCUAAAGAUUCUUAUACUAUUGGAUACAAGACAGUACAUUACGUAAAUUUGAAUAUCAUAAUGAAAGCUAUUUUAAGUGUUUUAGUCCUACUUUUGUCUGAUGAACUGAAGAAAAAGCUACAUUUUCAUUCUGAUCUGAAGACUUUGCACGAAUUCAUCAACCCUGAUUGUCUUCCUUUGGAAUAUGGAGGAACUUUGCCAGGUUUCGAUCCGACUAAAUUUAAUAAUAUGAUUAGAGCUAAUGAAGAAUUCUUCCAAAGAAGCGAAUAAUACCUGAAAAUGUAUGACGAAGAAGAAAGAGAAGUUCUAUAGAAGACAGAUUUACAAACGUUAUCGAAGAUCCAGAAGAAGAAAAAAUGAAAAAAUUUAUAGAGAAAUUAGAAGAAAAAUUUAAUCGUCAUUCUAAUAAUCCAGAAGCUUACUUGGAAUCUUUGAAACAAGACUUGGAAUUCGAAAUUACUCUGUUUUAAAAUAAUUAAAUUACCUUUGUAUUUACUAUUGAAAUAUAUAAACAGAUGUACAUUGUAGUUAAGCCACAACUGUACAGUUUACAUUGAAAACAAAUUAUAGAGUAUG